ensembl:lncRNA
CCGACCCGGUCCGGCGACCGGCCCCGCUCCACGGCGGGCAGCCCGAUAGGCACAGGGAGCGAGGACCGGGAGCUGGAUGGCGGUGUGGAGGCCUGAGGCGAAGGCUAAGCCUGCCCCUCCCCGGGCCGCCUUCAGCGAGCUUCGGCGCGGGUCUCCGCGUUGAGAGAAGUGAUGAGUCAGGUUUGCUCGGCUCCAUGCUAAUGCACGGAGAUGGAGGGUGUAAUUAGUAGAGAGGCAGGGCUGUGAUCUGCAGCGCGGGGCGGCCGGGCCACGCACCUCCUCUGUGCUUCAGAGCGUCGCUGAAGUUCUCCUUGUUUCGUGCUCCUCCAGCCCCAACGGUGUAUAUGCAGGGUUUGGUGGGAGCAGAGCCACAGACGUCGGAAGGUGUCUGUGUGUGAAGCACCCCGCGUUAUGUAAUUCUGAUGUUGAAAGAUGACGUGACAAGUACCCACGACUGGACAUCCUCAGAAACACGGUUGUGUCCUGUUCCUCUCCACUGCAGUUAUUCCCACUCAGAGUGACCACUUCAGAGCUUUAACAAAGCCCAUUACAAACGGGAACAUUUUCCGUUAGCCAAGUGAGUGUGAAAGUAAAGCUGACACGUAAGGCAACUUACAAUUGGAGAAAUUUGAUAUCUAGUCUCUGUUCUGCCACAAACUUCUUGUGAGAGGAGGAGGGACAUACUCUCCCAGAUGCCUGAAGUACUCUGUGAACUACCUCCCUUAAACUAUAAGCACUUAAGUACCUUUGUGGCUCCCAGACUUGCCAUUCAGCUGUUUAGUGUCUGAGAACUCUCAAGAGAAACAUACACUUUGUGUUUCAUUGUUUCUGGAAACAAUACAGCAAAUAGAAGUCGACUAACCUACUUUCCUGCACUCCCCCAACAAAUUCUCUUGCAUAUCUAUUCUGAAACUCUUUUUUUUUCUUCUCUUUUCUUUAUAUAAUCAGUUUUGAUGCCUAAUGGAAGUGGAAAAAGUACCUAACUGGGCCAGAUGCAGCGCAUCUCCAGUAUCAGUAUUAAAUAAUUGAUUGACUAGAGACCAUUUAAAAAAAAAAAUGUCAAGAUACCUGAGGCCUUUGUCUAGAUGCAGUAUUUUGAAAUGAGUUGUUAGGAUCCCCAUAGCACAGAUCAUGUAAAAUGCUGUAUAUGUGCUUAACUUAUGCCAUCGGCAAGGUCCUGAUGCCUGGCAAGACAUGUGCAUUGUGUGACUGAAUUUAAGCCCUUGGCUUGUUCCCUUUCAAGUUAAACAAAUGUGUAACUUCUGCAGGUCUUUGCACAAGCUGUCUUCUUUGUGAACACAGCCACAUUCCUGAAAGUUCUCCUUGUAAAUUUAUUUCUCAAAAGAAAUAUUACAAAAAGUAUCUGGUACUCCCUUCACCAUUACCUGUCAGCUUCUAUGAUCCAACUGUACCUUAGUUGUUGUCUACUGCUGUGCAUUUCUUUCAGUUCCUGUCCAGUUACUGAAUGGUAAAGGAAAGCAGAAUCCUGAAGUUAUGAGGUAAUUAAGUUACCAGCAGCCUGGCACCUUGACCUGCCCAGAAAUCUUAAGGUGGUGGUGAAUUCUACAAACACAAUCGGUCUUCUCUGCUGAGGUCACCCAAAGAGGCUGCCAGUUAUUGCCAUGCAUGGGAAAGGGGGAGAAUUUUUUUCUUGAUGGCAUGUACCACAGUGGCUUGAGACCAUCACAUCCUUCCAGACAGAUCACUGACCUGCCAAGUCGGAUUUGCUUAAGUGGUUACCGGUUUCAGCAGAAUUUUAUCAUUGGUGAUUGAAAAUUUUGUGAAGUUUUACAACCAAAGAGUAAUACUAAUUAAUAACAGAGGAACACGCUUCCAAAGGAAAGUAGGGUUUUCUCUGCCUUCUUAAGUAUUCGGGUGCAUUCUUGAGAGACAUAUUACAGCCAGGCAUGGGUUCUGUGCUCACUGUAGGAGUAACCGAAUGAGAUGCGAAAGCCAGAGUUCACCUAAUGCUUUAUGCAGCCUUUGAGCUGGUUCAAAUCAAUCAGCUAAGAGAUGUAGCCCAUCAAAACACCAAGCUGUCUUCACCCCUGGUAAUGAGCACCUACACCAUGGUGGGAUGCCAGAUUUGAACUCACUUUGUGGCUGUGAAAUUUCUGCCUGGACUUUCCUAAUGAGCAAGUAGAGAGCGGUACGGUGCAUCUCCACUGCCUUCCAGAAAGCACUGCACCCAACAGCCAUCAGCUGAAAACCAAUCUGUCCACGCAAGCUAAGUCGGAAGAUGCUGCGUAGAUGGGCUGUGUCCUGGAAAAUUCCACCUGGCCGUGGUGUGCAUGCAGAUGCUACUGGAGUGCUCAGUAGGUCCACAUCUGUUCUUCCUGUGAUGCAAACCUGCUGUAGAAGGGCACAGUUCUUUCACUCUCCAUACAUAAGUACAAAAGCUUGAUGCUUCCUGAAAAGGUCGGAUUGAGAAGAUCAGUGCUGUAAAACUGAACUAGUUAUGCAGUGGAUGUGUUUGCAAUUCAAAGACCUCCAGCAGCUCAGAGAGAAAGGAAAGGAUGAGGCAGCUGCCACGCAAUAACUCAGACUGGACUGCUACAAGACUAGAGAUUUCAUAAGAAAUUAAAAGAUCCUCAAAUUUUGUUCAUUAAAAACAAAGCAAAACAAAACAAAACAAAAACCCUUCAGAAGCAGGAGAAGGGGAUAUGUGAGCACCUAACUAGAGACUUACCCACUCUCCCCAUCUGACUGCCACUCUAAAGCCCUGUGCAAGUGUCAGAUGGGUGACUGACAUGCUACAUGCCUUUCAUUUCUUGAGUCUAUGAAUCAUUCAGCAGAGCCAUAUGAAACAUGGAUAGAUAGGAAAAUUGAUAUGGUUUCUCAAAGGUCAGAAAAGCCAGCACAUUACCAGCAUGUCAAACAAGUGACAGUCCUGCAUUCAUUAUCACCAGGCUUGGUGCACCAUUUUAGCAUUGUUUGCACAGGACUUUUAUUGCGUUCUUUGAGGAAGGAAGGGCAGCAGAUAAAGUUUGUGCCCUGACACUACAAAAUGACUUCCCAUCCUCAAAAUUACACACGCAAAUUUGCAAAAUGAGUGUUCAGAUAAUUACAUGAGAAGGCAAGAUGUCAGAGUUUGUGGAAUUCUUCCUCGAGGGUGGGGGCACACACUUUUUCAUUAGCAGCAUUUAAACCCUGACUAGAUAAAGCACUCUUAAAUUAUGUUUAUCGUAUGAAACAAUUACAGCCUGGCCAGGAGAACUGAACUUGCCAACUCAAUAGGCUUUUUAAAUAUCUAAUUUCUUGGACAAAUACGUAAUUCUAAAAAACAUUACAUCACUACCCAACCAAGAAAUCCUUUCUCUCUCUGUUUUUCUGUGGUUUGCACGAUAAUUUGCUAAAUACAUUUCAGCGUGUUGUUUACUUCAGCUCAGCCUUCUGAGACCACACAGGCCAAUGCUGAGACAGUAAAUAGGGAUCAUCUAGAAAAAAAAAAAAAAAAACAGGUUAUGCUUCAAGUUGAGUUGGGAAAUAUUCAAGUUCACUUUGGAAGUAUUUUGGGCCAUACAAUUUUGGGGGGGUGAUACACUGGGGAAAUGCAUUAAUUGAAAGAAAAUCCAAAAAGCAUGACACAGGUAGCCUUGUUAGUGGUCUUCCUCCUGAUUCAGGAGAAUUAUAAAUGAUCCCCUGUAACGUAUUCUUGUAGAUGUGAAUCCUGUGAACAAAUGCUGGUGAGUCCAGGAUUUGAGGUCUGCACAACAGCUGCUGACUCAUCAGGAUUUUGUCACUUCCCUGAAGAUGUUGCUGAGUGUUGGCUUUGGAUCUCAGGUGUCCCUCAUUAAGAACUGCCUAUUUUGCCUCAAACCCUCUUGUGGCAGCCAGGCUGCUGAGGAGCCAAGAGUUCAAAAGCUGAAGGGCUAAAAAGAGGGCAAGCAAGAGGGAGCUUUGGUUCAGUUGUGUGCCUGGCCAGCCUUUUUUUUUUUUUUUUUUUUUGCACAGAUGUCUUUGUCUUGCUGGAAAAAAAGUUCUCAAGCAGCAGAACUUGUCUGUUCAUAUUUUGCAAAUGAAACACAUGGUACGGCAUGAUGCCAUGUUAAAGAUGGAGCUGAUCAGUGAAAUUAGCUUCCGUUACUCACUGGCAAUGGUAUGGCUUUCAUUAUUUUCACAACAAAUACAAAACUCAGCAGCCUUUAGGAUAUGGCACAUAAUUAAUGUCCAUUUCCCAUUGAAGCCCCCCAAGAUAUGACUCUAAGUACAUUGGAAGAUGAGGCUGAAUUGUAACACAGUUUUAUUCUUUGUUUCUGGACAAAGAAGGCUGAAGUGAUGAAACAUUUGCAUCUGUUUUAAACUUGGCUUAUUUCAUUUUUAAUUUUUUUUUUUUUUAAUCCCACUGCAUUAUUUUUCUGACGGCUACACCCUGAAAAAACAGGUUGUCAGUGCAAGCAGGGUUUUCUCAGAAGGUACCCACAAGAAGCAAUUAGACGUGUGAGCAAAGGCAGUCAGCACAUGGGAUCCUCCCCAGCGAAACAGGCUCAGCGCUGAAGGCUCGUCUGCAUGGCAUGUUUCUUCUUUCAUCGAACACCAGCAAAAUGCCAGGAACAUUCCUGGACAGGAGAAAUCUUGAAUUCUGCAAUUCAGCCUUAAAGAAACACUCCUCUGGGGAACUGCCCAACUGCCUGAUGGAAAUGAGUGACUCCUGUAUGCAGAUCUGCCUUCGAAGACUCUGACCUAUUUCAGCCCAGCUUUGCAGAACACACAAGCUCUAUUUAUGAUGCUGCAGGAAGGGAAAGGCAGGGUGCAAGCAAUGCACCUUGCUCUGCUGGGAAAGAGCUGGCAGCCCCAGCUCCAGCAGUGAAGCCCCGCAUCAGGAGAUGGUGGGACCUGGCUCCUGUUGGGGCAAUGAGUAACAUCAUCACAUCUGACUGAACCUCUGGCAUGUAGACUUGACUACUUACUCUUGCUGCAGAAGCAUUUAUAUUGACACAGAUUCAGGAAGAUGCUGCACAGCAGAAUCAGGGAAACAACUGUUUUAUAAGCAGAGUGAUGCCUUCAUACAGCACAACAGUGUGAUCUGCGAUGGAAAACAUAACAGGACUGUAUUCCACAGCAAGGUCAUGUUUUGAGAAUUUUAUUCGUCCUCAUUUCUAUUAAAGUGUCUUUUUACAGGGAGAAAUAACUUCUUUUAGUUAUGCUGUAUUGCUCUUGAAACUUAACCUUCCUCUAGCUGGGCUCUAUAAAUCACGGAUUUUCUUAUAAACAGAUUACAGAUCCGCUUACAUCUUUGUAUUAUUUGGCUCCUUCAUUUCAGAAACAGUAUGGGCCAUAUUCUCCCCUGGCAUAGCUCCAUUCCCAGUAUUCUUAUUUUGAGGAUGCUGGGCCAGAUUCCUGAUCUCUCUGCUUUGUCAAUGGGCGCUAAGAGCCAUGCUGCUGCGAUCACUGCUGUCACAUAUCAGUAACACCACUCUGCUGCUGAGCAGAACAUAGCCCUCUGCUUAAACAGCACUUUGAUCAAGUGAAAUAAGGAAAAUAUUGCUGAAUGUAGCCUUCAGCAUAUUACUUGUUCUGCUGAAAGAUCAUCCGCUCUUGGCUUAGCUUAUUUCAAGCAUGAC